UCCUGGCUGAGAUUGAACGCUGGCGGAAUGCUUUACACAUGCAAGUCGAGCGGCAGCGCGGUCUUCGGACUGGCGGCGAGCGGCGAACGGGUGAGUAAUACAUCGGAACAUGCCCAGUCGUGGGGGAUAACACUUCGAAAGAAGUGCUAAUACCGCAUACGUCCUGAGGGAGAAAGCGGGGGAUCGCAAGACCUCGCGCGAUUGGAGUGGCCGAUGUCAGAUUAGCUAGUUGGUGGGGUAAAGGCCUACCAAGGCAACGAUCUGUAGCUGGUCUGAGAGGAUGAUCAGCCACACUGGGACUGAGACACGGCCCAGACUCCUACGGGAGGCAGCAGUGGGGAAUUUUGGACAAUGGGGGCAACCCUGAUCCAGCCAUUCCGCGUGAGUGAAGAAGGCCUUCGGGUUGUAAAGCUCUUUCGGCAGGAACGAAACGGCGAGCUCUAACAUAGCUCGCUAAUGACGGUACCUGAAGAAGAAGCACCGGCUAACUACGUGCCAGCAGCCGCGGUAAUACGUAGGGUGCGAGCGUUAAUCGGAAUUACUGGGCGUAAAGCGUGCGCAGGCGGUUGUGUAAGACAGGUGUGAAAUCCCCGGGCUUAACCUGGGAACUGCGCUUGUGACUGCACGGCUAGAGUAUGGCAGAGG
rnacentral:rRNA from 1 species